rnacentral:rRNA from 1 species
UACAGAGGGUGCAAGCGUUGUUCGGAAUUAUUGGGCGUAAAGCGCGUGUAGGCGGCUUUGCAAGUCGGGUGUGAAAGCCCUCAGCUCAACUGAGGAAGUGCGCCCGAAACUGCAGAGCUUGAGUGCCGGAGAGGGUGGCGGAAUUCCCCAAGUAGAGGUGAAAUUCGUAGAUAUGGGGAGGAACACCAGUGGCGAAGGCGGCUCACUGGACCGGUACUGACGCUGAAGCGCGAAAGCGUGGGGAGCAAACGGG